rnacentral:rRNA from 1 species
GCUUGCUGGGUGGAUUAGUGGCGAACGGGUGAGUAACACGUGAGUAACCUGCCCUUAACUCUGGGAUAAGCCUGGGAAACUGGGUCUAAUACCGGAUAGGAGCGCCUACCGCAUGGUGGGUGUUGGAAAGAUUUAUCGGUUUUGGAUGGACUCGCGGCCUAUCAGCUUGUUGGUGAGGUAAUGGCUCACCAAGGCGACGACGGGUAGCCGGCCUGAGAGGGUGACCGGCCACACUGGGACUGAGACACGGCCCAGACUCCUACGGGAGGCAGCAGUGGGGAAUAUUGCACAAUGGGCGCAAGCCUGAUGCAGCGACGCCGCGUGAGGGAUGACGGCCUUCGGGUUGUAAACCUCUUUCAGUAGGGAAGAAGCGAAAGUGACGGUACCUGCAGAAGAAGCACCGGCUAACUACGUGCCAGCAGCCGCGGUAAUACGUAGGGUGCGAGCGUUAUCCGGAAUUAUUGGGCGUAAAGAGCUCGUAGGCGGUUUGUCGCGUCUGUCGUGAAAGUCCGGGGCUUAACCCCGGAUCUGCGGUGGGUACGGGCAGACUAGAGUGCAGUAGGGGAGACUGGAAUUCCUGGUGUAGCGGUGGAAUGCGCAGAUAUCAGGAGGAACACCGAUGGCGAAGGCAGGUCUCUGGGCUGUAACUGACGCUGAGGAGCGAAAGCAUGGGGAGCGAACAGGAUUAGAUACCCUGGUAGUCCAUGCCGUAAACGUUGGGCACUAGGUGUGGGGACCAUUCCACGGUUUCCGCGCCGCAGCUAACGCAUUAAGUGCCCCGCCUGGGGAGUACGGCCGCAAGGCUAAAACUCAAAGGA